GAUGGAUUUAGAUGAUCUUCCUGGUACAGUAAAUUCAUUCCUGCCUUAUAAUUUAAUAGUAUAGGUAUACAUCAGUGUUCUUUUGAAUUCAGCUGUGGCUUUUAUAACUUUUUGUUAAGGGAUAUACGUGUAUUGAUAUAAUUUAUUUAGAUGUGGUGAUUUAAUCACUAUUUUUUUUUGUGUAUAUUAGAAUGCCUCGUAGUUAUUACCCCUUUGUUUGAAAGGUAUGAUGAAGUGAUCUAAUCACGGUGCUCUUCCUCAAUAUUUUUACAUUCAAGUUCAUGCUCAUGUGAUCUCAGACUUUAUGAUAUAAAACAAUUUGAGCCGUUUAUUGUAUACAAAUAAAUGAAAGAAUUUUUGUGAAUAGACCAUAUAAUUGAAGUUUCUAUAUUGGUAUGAUUUUUUAAAACCUUGAACUGCAGACAUUUGCCAUAAAAGACAAUGACUAUUUAAGAAUCAUGGCAAAUGAAAUAGGAGAAAUCAUGGGUAUGUGCUUUUUCAUCAAAGAAAACGAAGAGUUGGCCUUAUUUACUGCAGCAUUUCUGUGUGUGUACCUGUGGAGGAUAUCUCAGCUACCCAUAUUAUAGAUAGUAUGAUUCUCCUUUUAUUGAAUACAUAAGACUAAGAGAAUAUAUAACGGAAUAUAACAAGAGAAGCUGAGACUGAUUGUCCAUCAAACAACCAGUAACUGUCUCAUUACACCUGUGAGUGUCUCAUUACACCUGUGAGUGUCUCAUUACACCUGUCUCACAAUACCUGUCUCUUAUCGCUUUUCUUAACUUCAUUACUACAUGUAGUAAUAAAACAGCAUGAUGGCCAUUUUUCAUCUACUGUAUUUUGUCUAGUCUAGUUUGGUUUUUUCCAUAUCAGAUCUAUCAAAAAUAUGAGAAUUUUUUUUAAAUUUCUGUAAAAUAUAUAUCGUCAGUGAACUUUUUUUAUUGUAUGCAAUUAAAGAUUCCUGGAGAAUCUAUUCUAUUAAUUCGUCUUUUAUUUUUAACCGUAAUAUGACGCAACUUUAUGUAUACAAUUGCAUUGUAUUUGGCUUUUUUUAAAUCUCCAGAAUACUGUUGGGUUUUUUUUCUGGACGCUUUUACGCAAGUCUUUGUUGCUUUAUAGCCUUGUUUAUUUCGUGUGCUGUUUCUAAUGGAUGGGAAUAAAUAAUUAAUUUCUU
rnacentral:misc_RNA from 1 species